UGAGUAACACGUGACUAACCAUACCCAUCGAAGUGCGGAAUAACCAUCGGGAAAACCGAACAGCUAAGGUCACCGCAUCAACAUCGAGCGCUUUUAAGAGCAUGCCGAUCAAAGGAGCAAUCCGGCUUGAGGAGGGGAGUCGCAGGCUGAUUAGCUAGUUGGACGGGGUAACGGAACCACCAAGGCGAAGAUCGGUAGCCAGGCCUGAGAGGGCGCACGGACAACACUGGAACUGAAACACGGUCCAGACUCCUACGGGAGGCAGCAGUGGGGAAUUUUGC
rnacentral:rRNA from 1 species